UUUUAUUUGAGAGUUUGAUCCUGGCUCAGGAUGAACGCUGGCGGCGUGCCUAACACAUGCAAGUUGAGCGAUUUACUUCGGUAAAGAGCGGCGGACGGGUGAGUAACGCGUGGGUAACCUACCCUGUACACACGGAUAACAUACCGAAAGGUAUGCUAAUACGGGAUAAUAUAUUUGAGAGGCAUCUCUUAAAUAUCAAAGGUGAGCCAGUACAGGAUGGACCCGCGUCUGAUUAGCUAGUUGGUAAGGUAACGGCUUACCAAGGCGACGAUCAGUAGCCGACCUGAGAGGGUGAUCGGCCACAUUGGAACUGAGACACGGUCCAAACUCCUACGGGAGGCAGCAGUGGGGAAUAUUGCACAAUGGGCGAAAGUCUGAUGCAGCAACGCCGCGUGAGGGAUGAAGGCCUUCGGGUCGUAAAACUCUGUCCUCAAGGAAGAUAAUGACGGUACUUGAGGAGGAAGCCCCGGCUAACUACGUGCCAGCAGCCGCGGUAAUACGUAGGGGGCUAGCGUUAUCCGGAUUUACUGGGCGUAAAGGGUGCGUAGGCGGUCUUUCAAGUCAGGAGUGAAAGGCUACGGCUCAACCGUAGUAAGCUCUUGAAACUGGGAGACUUGAGUGCAG
rnacentral:rRNA from 1 species